AAUUUUCCCCCUAGUUUCUUUCAUAUUUAUCCCAAAUUAAUUUAUUAAUUAGUUUAUUGGUUAAACCUUGCAUGGUUAUUAGUUUGGGACUCAUCAUGUCGAGGUUACCAUAGCAGUUUCAGUUAACAACAUUGGUUUCAUAUUGGCAAAAUAUAUCAGCUAACAAUAUUGGUUUGCAUGUCAGUAAAAUAUUGUGAGAAAAUUAAGUUAGAUAGCUGUCAUUCCUAGCUUGAUA
rnacentral:misc_RNA from 1 species